UGGGGAAUCUUGCACAAUGGGCGAAAGCCUGAUGCAGCAACGCCGCGUGAGCGAUGAAGGCCUUUGGGUCGUAAAGCUCUGUCCUUGGGGAAGAACAAAAUGACGGUACCCUUGGAGGCAGCCCCGGCUAACUACGUGCCAGCAGCCGCGGUAAUACGUAGGGGGCGAGCGUUAUCCGGCAUUAUUGGGCGUAAAGAGUGCGUAGGUGGUCUUGGAAGCGGGGGGUGAAAGGCAUCGGCUUAACCGAUGUUAGCCCCCCGAACUGUGAGACUUGAGUACAGGAGAGGAAAGCGUAAUUCCUAGUGUAGCGGUGAAAUUCGUAGAUAUUAGGAGGAACACCAGUGGCGAAGGCGGCUUUCUGGACUGAAACUGACACUGAGGCACGAAAGCGUGGGGAGCAAACA
rnacentral:rRNA from 1 species